rnacentral:rRNA from 2 species
GGACGCAAGUCUGAUGGAGCAACGCCGCGUGAGUGAAGAAGGCUUUCGGGUCGUAAAACUCUGUUGUUGGAGAAGAAUGGUCGGCAGAGUAACUGUUGUCGGCGUGACGGUAUCCAACCAGAAAGCCACGGCUAACUACGUGCCAGCAGCCGCGGUAAUACGUAGGUGGCAAGCGUUAUCCGGAUUUAUUGGGCGUAAAGCGAGCGCAGGCGGUUUUUUAAGUCUGAUGUGAAAGCCCUCGGCUUAACCGAGGAAGUGCAUCGGAAACUGGGAAACUUGAGUGCAGAAGAGGACAGUGGAACUCCAUGUGUAGCGGUGAAAUGCGUAGAUAUAUGGAAGAACACCAGUGGCGAAGGCGGCUGUCUGGUCUGUAACUGACGCUGAGGCUCGAAAGCAUGGGUAGCGAACAGGAUUAGAUACCCUGGUAGUCCAUGCCGUAAACGAUGAAUGCUAGGUGUUGGAGGGUUUCCGCCCUUCAGUGCCGCAGCUAACGCAUUAAGCAUUCCGCCUGGGGAGUACGACCGCAAGGUUGAAACUCAAAGGAAUUGACGGGGGCCCGCACAAGCGGUGGAGCAUGUGGUUUAAUUCGAAGCAACGCGAAGAACCUUACCAGGUCUUGACAUCUUUUGAUCACCUGAGAGAUCAGGUUUCCCCUUCGGGGGCAAAAUGACAGGUGGUGCAUGG